rnacentral:rRNA from 1 species
AGAGUUUGAUCCUGGCUCAGGACGAACGCUGGCGGCGUGCUUAACACAUGCAAGUCGAACGGAAAGGCCCUGCUUUUGUGGGGUGCUCGAGUGGCGAACGGGUGAGUAACACGUGAGUAACCUGCCCUUGACUUUGGGAUAACUUCAGGAAACUGGGGCUAAUACCGGAUAGGAGCUCCUGCUGCAUGGUGGGGGUUGGAAAGUUUCGGCGGUUGGGGAUGGACUCGCGGCUUAUCAGCUUGUUGGUGGGGUAGUGGCUUACCAAGGCUUUGACGGGUAGCCGGCCUGAGAGGGUGACCGGCCACAUUGGGACUGAGAUACGGCCCAGACUCCUACGGGAGGCAGCAGUGGGGAAUAUUGCACAAUGGGCGGAAGCCUGAUGCAGCAACGCCGCGUGCGGGAUGACGGCCUUCGGGUUGUAAACCGCUUUCGCCUGUGACGAAGCGUGAGUGACGGUAAUGGGUAAAGAAGCACCGGCUAACUACGUGCCAGCAGCCGCGGUGAUACGUAGGGUGCGAGCGUUGUCCGGAUUUAUUGGGCGUAAAGGGCUCGUAGGUGGUUGAUCGCGUCGGAAGUGUAAUCUUGGGGCUUAACCCUGAGCGUGCUUUCGAUACGGGUUGACUUGAGGAAGGUAGGGGAGAAUGGAAUUCCUGGUGGAGCGGUGGAAUGCGCAGAUAUCAGGAGGAACACCAGUGGCGAAGGCGGUUCUCUGGGCCUUUCCUGACGCUGAGGAGCGAAAGCGUGGGGAGCGAACAGGCUUAGAUACCCUGGUAGUCCACGCUGUAAACGGUGGGUACUAGGUGUGGGGUCCAUUCCACGGGUUCCGUGCCGUAGCUAACGCUUUAAGUACCCCGCCUGGGGAGUACGGCCGCAAGGCUAAAACUCAAAGGAAUUGACGGGGCCCCGCACAAGCGGCGGAGCAUGCGGAUUAAUUCGAUGCAACGCGUAGAACCUUACCUGGGUUUGACAUGGAUCGGGAGCGCUCAGAGAUGGGUGUGCCUCUUUUGGGGUCGGUUCACAGGUGGUGCAUGGCUGUCGUCAGCUCGUGUCGUGAGAUGUUGGGUUAAGUCCCGCAACGAGCGCAACCCUUGUUCACUGUUGCCAGCACGUUAUGGUGGGGACUCAGUGGAGACCGCCGGGGUCAACUCGGAGGAAGGUGGGGAUGACGUCAAGUCAUCAUGCCCCUUAUGUCCAGGGCUUCACGCAUGCUACAAUGGCUGGUACAGAGAGUGGCGAGCCUGUGAGGGUGAGCGAAUCUCGGAAAGCCGGUCUCAGUUCGGAUUGGGGUCUGCAACUCGACCUCAUGAAGUCGGAGUCGCUAGUAAUCGCAGAUCAGCAACGCUGCGGUGAAUACGUUCCCGGGGCUUGUACACACCGCCCGUCAAGUCAUGAAAGUUGGUAACACCCGAAGCCGGUGGCCUAACCGUUGUGGGGGAGCCGUCGAAGGUGGGACUGGUGAUUAGGACUAAGUCGUAACAAGGUAGCCGUA